rnacentral:rRNA from 1 species
GACGUAGGUUGCAAACGUUAUCCGGAAUUAUUGGGCGUAAAGAGUUCGUAGGUGGUUUGUUAAGUAGGAUGUCAAAGACCGAAGCUCAACUUCGGGAAGGUAUCCUAAACUGGCAGGCUAGAGGGAGGCAGAGGCAAGUGGAAUUCUGUGUGUAGGGGUAAUAUCCGUAGAUACACAGAGGAACUCCAAAAGUGAAGACAGCUUGCUGGGCCUUUCCUGACACUCAAGAACGAAAGCGUGGGGAGCAAACAGG